rnacentral:rRNA from 1 species
GAAUGCUGACAUAAGUAACGAUAAAGCGGGUGAAAAGCCCGCUCGCCGGAAGACCAAGGGUUCCUGUCCAACGUUAAUCGGGGCAGGGUGAGUCGACCCCUAAGGCGAGGCCGAAAGGCGUAGUCGAUGGGAAACGGGUUAAUAUUCCCGUACUUGGUGUUACUGCGAAGGGGGGACGGAGAAGGCUAUGUUGGCCGGGCGACGGUUGUCCCGGUUUAAGCGUGUAGGUGUGUGUUCCAGGUAAAUCCGGUUCACUUUAACACUGAGGCGUGACGACGAGGCACUACGGUGCUGAAGCAACAAAUGCCCUGCUUCCAGGAAAAGCCUCUAAGCAUCAGGUAACAUCAAAUCGUACCCCAAACCGACACAGGUGGUCAGGUAGAGAAUACCAAGGCGCUUGAGAGAACUCGGGUGAAGGAACUAGGCAAAAUGGUGCCGUAACUUCGGGAGAAGGCACGCUGACACGUAGGUGAAGUGAUUUACUCAUGGAGCUGAAGUCAGUCGAAGAUACCAGCUGGCUGCAACUGUUUAUUAAAAACACAGCACUGUGCAAACACGAAAGUGGACGUAUACGGUGUGACGCCUGCCCGGUGCCGGAAGGUUAAUUGAUGGGGUCAGCGCAAGCGAAGCUCCUGAUCGAAGCCCCGGUAAACGGCGGCCGUAACUAUAACGGUCCUAAGGUAGCGAAAUUCCUUGUCGGGUAAGUUCCGACCUGCACGAAUGGCGUAAUGAUGGCCAGGCUGUCUCCACCCGAGACUCAGUGAAAUUGAACUCGCUGUGAAGAUGCAGUGUACCCGCGGCAAGACGGAAAGACCCCGUGAACCUUUACUAUAGCUUGACACUGAACAUUGAGCCUUGAUGUGUAGGAUAGGUGGGAGGCUUUGAAGUGUGGACGCCAGUCUGCAUGGAGCCGACCUUGAAAUACCACCCUUUAAUGUUUGAUGUUCUAACGUGGACCCGUUACCCGGGUUGCGGACAGUGUCUGGUGGGUAGUUUGACUGGGGCGGUCUCCUCCUAAAGAGUAACGGAGGAGCACGAAGGUUGGCUAAUCCUGGUCGGACAUCAGGAGGUUAGUGCAAUGGCAUAAGCCAGCUUGACUGCGAGCGUGACGGCGCGAGCAGGUGCGAAAGCAGGUCAUAGUGAUCCGGUGGUUCUGAAUGGAAGGGCCAUCGCUCAACGGAUAAAAGGUACUCCGGGGAUAACAGGCUGAUACCGCCCAAGAGUUCAUAUCGACGGCGGUGUUUGGCACCUCGAUGUCGGCUCAUCACAUCCUGGGGCUGAAGUAGGUCCCAAGGGUAUGGCUGUUCGCCAUUUAAAGUGGUACGCGAGCUGGGUUUAGAACGUCGUGAGACAGUUCGGUCCCUAUCUGCCGUGGGCGCUGGAGAACUGAGGGGGGCUGCUCCUAGUACGAGAGGACCGGAGUGGACGCAUCACUGGUGUUCGGGUUGUCAUGCCAAUGGCACUGCCCGGUAGCUAAAUGCGGAAGAGAUAAGUGCUGAAAGCAUCUAAGCACGAAACUUGCCCCGAGAUGAGUUCU